UCUCUCUCUCUCUCUCUCUCUCUCUCUUCGAUUGGAUUGCCUCUCCUUCACCGGUGGUGUGCUCUUGUCGGCUACAAUGCCGUCCAUACUCUGGACGGGACUGUUGGUUGAGAUUCGUUCUCCUUUCCUGAUCUUGCCGUGUACCCUUAUUUUUGCUAUGCCCUGCUGAUUUCGUGUUCUUCCUUCUGUCCGCGUCGUGCGCAGGUUGAUUAUCUUGCCAUCCUCUCCUGCGUCCACUGUCGCGCCGUUCUGCCUUCGGCGAUUAAUUGAGGAUGGAGCAGCAGGCAUAGAUGAAAUCUACUGCCAAUUUCUAUUGGUUGCGGCAUCUUCCGCUGAGUAACUCUACAAAACAGCCUGCUAGCAUUGAUUCUUGCAAUAAAAAAAUAAGUCUGGCAUCAUUCAUGAAAAGCUUAUAGACUUAGAUAAUUUCUUAAUCCUGCACUGGUUCUCACCAGUGAGAUUGUAGAUGUGGUAUUUUGAGAAUACUAGUGUAAUUCACUGGUCCAAAAGCUCCAUUUCUUAAUGUGUUUUUGCAGAAUGCUACCAGUAAUGUUUUUCUUUUCCUUAAUGUACAAACAUAUCUGUUAGAUAUGAUUUUGGAUCUGAACUUUUCCCUGUCUGCAGCUCACAUUGUGGUAUGGUCAUGGUACAGCAAAAGGAAAAGAUGUUUAAACUUUUUUUGGGCGUCAUACAUGAAAAGUACCUUUAUUUCCAUCGAGCUUAAUUACUAAGAAAAUGUUACCACUAUGUCCUUACUAAUAAACCUAAAUGUUCUGAAAGUUCGGUCUCUUGCUCUCUUUGCUUAUGAAUCGGACACUUUCCCUUUCUUUAGUCCUUACACGGUUCCACCUCGCUUUGACUUCAUACUUUGAUGGUGUUUGUAGGUAUGAAGAGUGGUCAUAAUGUUACUUAAAGGAGGCCUCAACUUGCACCAAAUACAUGGGCAUGUGCAACAGCAACUUAUGUAGGUGAGUAGGUAUUUAUGCUUAGUUUUGACUUGAGUACAAAAAAGAGCUUGCUGACAUAUACAAGAGAAUAGGCUACCCAUUCUUGAAUUGAAUCAGAUUGGUAGACUAAACCACGGCGGUGUACUCUUUGCUGCUGAGUUAUUACAAUCCAACUGAAAAUAAGGGGAAAACAAACAUGAUCUUGCCAUUUAAAUUAUCUCAUAUUUGUGGAGAAAAGUUGCAUAGUUAGCUAUUGCAAAAUACUGUCGACCCAGUUUUUGUUCAAUAGACGUCCCUUCUUUGAAUGUAGCUUGAACCUGCGCAAGGGCAUGGUAGCAUGCUCAUUCUAUUUUUUUUACUAAGGUGGUUACACUUUCCUACUUUUUUCUGAAAGAGAGUCAAUUUAGUCAUGAGCUAUAGCGGCGUUUCUGUUUACUGAAUUUCGUUUUGCAGUUCCCUUCUCUUGAAUGUUUAUUCAAAUGUGCCUAAUGUUUCUUUUAGGUUUCUAAAAUCUAAUAAAUGCUGCUCUCAAAUCAGUUAGGAGGCUGAAGGUAGUAGCUUACUGAACUCUCAUUUCCGGAAAAAUCUGGAGAUGUCUUGAAUUAUGAGUGGGUUGACUUUUCUUGACGUGUAUUUUAUACAACGAGCAACUACCUUGUGCCGUCUUCCAGCCACCAACAACCCCAUGACCCUGCAUCAGGACAAAUUUGAUUUUGGGAAGACAAAGGUCUGAUAAGGAUGAUAAUGGGAUACCAGAUUACAACGACGGAGGCUCGGACAUGGAUCUGCUCAUGCUCUCAGCGGGAAUACUGGAUGUUCUCGAAGCUUUUCCAUACACACGUGCUACUUUUGGCACUUGCGUGGGCUCCAGUUUGUGUCAAUGCAAUUUGCAUCUGUCAGCGGAUUAUGGCGAGCUUGGUUAUUGGCCUACAGGAAUGUUUGUGUAUGGAUGUCACAAAAUUGUUAUGCAGAAAAUAAGAGUGUAGUACAUUUCAGAGAUACAAGUAUCUUGUUCAGUUUAGUCAGAGCACAUGCAAACAAGUAGUUCCCUAGGGUGGAGGCCUUCCACUUGCUUUUGCUAGCUAUAUGAAAUAGACUGAACCUGAACCUAACUACGAUUGGAUGUCUAAGCUGAAUUGUUGCAUCCUUAGACAUGGAAUUAUGGAUCAAUUUUAGCUCUCAAGAACUGCAUACUUAUGGUCCUAUGUAAUCCCAAUUUAUUCAGGCAAGCAUCCCAAAAGUUCA